UAGAUUCGGAGGCAGACAGAGAUGAGUAGAUACGCAGACUUGCUAACUCCCUAUUGUUAUCUGUAAGAUGCAGGUAUUGGUAAUAUCUACACUGAGUCAUGGCGAGUGCACAGUGGAAGCAGGAUGUGACCACAAGUAUUCAGCGUUUGGCAUAUGAUAGACCCUGGGAAUAGGACGCAGAUGACAGUCUCAAGUAUUGGGAUUCACAUGUGCAUAGAAGACACAACGCCAAUGACAACUAGGACCGUCUGAAAGCCCAGACUUCUGAGGAGGGACCAGUAACUAAAGUCUCAGGGGAACUAAAAAGGGGUGUGGUAAGAAGGCCCCUCAGACCUCUUCCUGCCUCGGUUUCCUGAGUCCUGGAAUGACAACCAUUCCUCACCACACCCAACUUUGAGCUUUGAACGGCUUCUUUUAUUCCUAGACUUCAAAGUGGAGCCUGGCAUCAUCAGCCUUUUGGUUCACCUUUAGUAGACACUUCUGGAAGAUAUUUCUACUACUUCCUAUAGGGAUGCUAGGUUGAGAUCCAGUCUCAAUGUCGCCCCUUCAAGUUUUGUCUUGUUCAUAAACAUGCUCGUUUCCUCUGAAA